AGAGGCAGUAGUUCAGUGGUAGAGUAUCUCCCUGGCAUGCAGAAGGUCCCACUUUCAAUUCCUGGCUUCUCUC
rnacentral:tRNA from 1 species